rnacentral:rRNA from 1 species
AUUGAACGCUGGCGGCAUGCUUUACACAUGCAAGUCGAACAGUAACAGGCCGCAAGGUGCUGACGAGUGGCGAACGGGUGAGUAAUGCAUCGGAACGUGCCCAGUCGUGGGGGAUAACGCAGCGAAAGCUGUGCUAAUACCGCAUACGAUCUAUGGAUGAAAGCGGGGGACCGUAAGGCCUCGCGCGAUUGGAGCGGCCGAUGUCAGAUUAGGUAGUUGGUGGGGUAAAGGCUCACCAAGCCAACGAUCUGUAGCUGGUCUGAGAGGACGACCAGCCAAACUGGGGCUGAGACACGGCCCAGACUCCUACGGGAGGCAGCAGUGGGGAAUUUUGGACAAUGGGCGCAAGCCUGAUCCAGCAAUGCCGCGUGCAGGAAGAAGGCCUUCGGGUUGUAAACUGCUUUUGUACGGAACGAAAAGGUUUGGGUUAAUACCCUGGGCCGAUGACGGUACCGUAAGAAUAAGCACCGGCUAACUACGUGCCAGCCGCCGCCGUAA